AUUGAACGCUGGCGGAAUGCUUUACACAUGCAAGUCGAACGGCAGCAUAGGUGCUUGCACCUGAUGGCGAGUGGCGAACGGGUGAGUAAUACAUCGGAACGUGCCCAGUCGUGGGGGAUAACGUAGCGAAAGUUACGCUAAUACCGCAUACGAUCUAAGGAUGAAAGCGGGGGACCGUAAGGCCUCGCGCGAUUGGAGCGGCCGAUGUCAGAUUAGGUAGUUGGUGAGGUAAAGGCUCACCAAGCCGACGAUCUGUAGCUGGUCUGAGAGGGCGACCAGCCACACUGGGGCUGAGACACGGCCCAGACUCCUACGGGAGGCAGCAGUGGGGAAUUUUGGACAAUGGACGCAAGUCUGAUCCAGCCAUUCCGCGUGCAGGACGAAGGCCUUCGGGUUGUAAACUGCUUUUGUACGGAACGAAAAAGCUCUUACUAAUACUAGGAGUCCAUGACGGUACCGUAAGAAUAAGCACCGGCUAACUACGUGCCAGCCGCCGCGGUAA
rnacentral:rRNA from 1 species